AACGAACGCUGGCGGCAUGCCUAACACAUGCAAGUCGAACGAGACCUUCGGGUCUAGUGGCGCACGGGUGCGUAACGCGUGGGAACCUGCCUUUAGGUUCGGAAUAACUCAGAGAAAUUUGAGCUAAUACCGGAUAAUGUCUUCGGACCAAAGAUUUAUCGCCUUUAGAUGGGCCCGCGUUGGAUUAGCUAGUUGGUGGGGUAAAGGCCUACCAAGGCGACGAUCCAUAGCUGGUCUGAGAGGAUGAUCAGCCACACUGGGACUGAGACACGGCCCAGACUCCUACGGAGGCAGCAGUGGGGAAUAUUGGACAAUGGGCGAAAGCCUGAUCCAGCAAAUGCCGCGGUGAGUGAUG
rnacentral:rRNA from 1 species